AGCAGCCGCGGUAAUUCCAGCUCCAAUAGCGUAUAUUAAAGUUGUUGCAGUUAAAAAGCUCGUAGUUGAAUUUCGGGGUUCUACCGUUGGUCGGGCUUUGUCUGUACUGGCGUGUAGAAUUUCUACCUUCUGGGGAACCAUCAUGUUAUUAAUUUAACGUGGUGGGAAACCAGGACCUUUACCUUGAAAAAAUUAGAGUGUUCAAAGUAGGCUUAUGUCUGAAUACAUUAGCAUGGAAUAAUAGAAUAGGACGGUGGUCCUGUUUUGUUGGUUUCUGAAUCACCGUAAUGAUUAAUAGGGAUAGUUGGGGGCAUUAGUAUUCAAUUGUCAGAGGUGAAAUUCUUGGAUUUAUUGAAGACUAACUUCUGCGAAAGCAUUUGCCAAGGAUGUUUUCAUUAAUCAAGAACGAAAGUUAGGGGAUCGAAGACGAUCAGAUACCGUCGUAGUCUU
rnacentral:rRNA from 1 species